CUGAACCGGUCCUAAAGAGCAAAGCAAACGCAGGGAGACAGGUGCACACGGUAAGACAGGUGCACACGGUGAGCCAGGUACAGGUAGUGUGACACGUACACAUUGUGAGACAGGUACACAUUGUGAGACAGGUACACACGGUGAGCCAGGUACAGGUAGUGUGACACGUACACAUUGUGAGACAGGUACACAUUGUGAG